AUUGAACGCUGGCGGCAUGCCUAACACAUGCAAGUCGAACGGAGAUAGGGGCAACCUUAUUUCAGUGGCGGACGGGUGAGGAAUGCGUCGGAAUCUGCCCUAUGGUGGGGGAUAACACAGGGAAACUUGUGCUAAUACCGCAUAAUGUCGAGAGACCAAAGCAGGGGACCGCAAGGCCUUGCGCGAUAGGAUGAGCCGACGCCCGAUUAGCUUGUUGGUAGGGUAAUGGCCUACCAAGGCGACGAUCGGUAGCUGGUCUGAGAGGAUGAUCAGCCACACUGGGACUGAGACACGGCCCAGACUCCUACGGGAGGCAGCAGUAGGGAAUAUUGGACAAUGGGCGGAAGCCUGAUCCAGCCAUCCCGCGUGUAGGAAUAAGGCCCUAUGGGUUGUAAACUACUUUUAUUAGGGAAGAAAAACUUUGAUUUAUCAGAGCUUGACGGUACCUAAGGAAUAAGCACCGGCUAACUCCGUGCCAGCAGCCGCGGU
rnacentral:rRNA from 1 species